GAAAGAUUAAAGGUUUAAUAAAUAAUCCCCUAUGUGUAACUGAUUGUACCACAGAUUUUUAAGAUUAACUGAAUUGGAUUGUUUAUCUGACAGGGGAAUUUGGCAGGAAAUAAGUCUCAGGAAUCCAGCUAUCAGGAACUUCAAUUCCCUCAUAAUAAUGUUUAUAAUAAUUUGAGGAAAACUCCCAGAUAAUAAUCCAGAUUAUUCCCAGCACUGGAGAGUCAAUCCAUUCACCCCUGUUCCUAGUGCACAAUGGAGUGCACAAGCUGGGGGGUUAGAACACUCUAUAUACUGAUCUUCUCAUCAGAACAAAAUGACAAGUCAAAAAAGAUCUUAAUUUCCCCAGACAAUACUUAAAGAAGCCUCAUGUACAUUUUGCCUUUUAGAAGUGAGUUGGGACAGGUCUGAAACGAAGGCUUUUUGAAAUGGGACAAUGUUUUGGGUAUCUGAUUCAACUAUCACAAACUUAACGGCAUAUUUAUUAAAAUGUGACAUUAGAGCUUAGUAAGUAAAAACUCACGCACAUUCUAUUUAUUCUAUUCCUAUCGUAUUUUUAGAAUUGUAUUUAUCAAUGGGAGAAAGGUUGAACUUCCCAUUUGAUAAAUAUGGUUCUGAAAGUCCUC